rnacentral:rRNA from 1 species
AGAGUUUGAUCAUGGCUCAGGAUGAACGCUGGCGGCACGCUUAACACAUGCGAGUCGAGCGGAGCACUUCGGUGCUUAGCGGCGGACGGGUGCGUAACGCGUGGGUAACCUGCCCUAUACAGGGGGAUAACGUAUAGAAAUGUACGCUAAUACCGCAUAAGCUCACAGGACCGCAUGGUCUGGUGGGAAAAACUCCGGUGGUAUAGGAUGGGCCUGCGUCUGAUUAGCUAGUUGGAGAGGUAACGGCUCACCAAGGCGACGAUCAGUAGCCGGUCUGAGAGGAUGGACGGCCACAUUGGGACUGAGACACGGCCCAAACUCCUACGGGAGGCAGCAGUGGGGAAUAUUGCACAAUGGGGGAAACCCUGAUGCAGCGAUGCCGCGUGAAGGAUGAAAUAUUUCGGUAUGUAAACUUCUAUCAGCAAGGAAGAAACUGACAGUACUUGAUUAAGAAGCCCCGGCUAACUACGUGCCAGCAGCCGCGGUAAUACGUAGGGGGCGAGCGUUAUCCGGAAUUACUGGGUGUAAAGGGUGCGUAGGCGGCACAUUAAGUCUGAUGUGAAAGACCGGAGCUUAACUCCGGGGUUGCAAUGGAAACUGAUGAGCUAGAGUGCAGGAGAGGAAAGCGGAAUUCCUAGUGUAGCGGUGAAAUGCGUAGAUAUUAGGAAGAACACCAGUGGCGAAGGCGGCUUUCUGGACUGAAACUGACGCUGAGGCACGAAAGCGUGGGGAGCAAACAGGAUUAGAUACCCUGGUAGUCCACGCUGUAAACGAUGAAUGCUAGGUGUUGGGGCGCAAGCCUCGGUGCCGCAGUUAACGCAGUAAGCAUUCCACCUGGGGAGUACGACCGCAAGGUUGAAACUCAAAGGAAUUGACGGGGGCCCGCACAAGCGGUGGGGCAUGUGGUUUAAUUCGAAGCAACGCGAAGAACCUUACCAAGUCUUGACAUCCCUCUGAAUACUGUAGAGAUACGGUAGGCCUUCGGGACAGAGGAGACAGGUGGUGCAUGGUUGUCGUCAGCUCGUGUCGUGAGAUGUUGGGUUAAGUCCCGCAACGAGCGCAACCCCUAUUAUUAGUAGCCAGCAGGUAAAGCUGGGCACUCUGAUAAGACUGCCGGGGAUAACUCGGAGGAAGGUGGGGAUGAGGUCAAAUCAUCAUGCCCCUUAUGACUUGGGCUACACACGUGCUACAAUGGCUAUGACAAAGAGAAGCGAAGCAGAGAUGCGGAGCAAAGCUCAAAAAAAUAGUCCCAGUUCGGAUUGUAGUCUGCAACUCGACUACAUGAAGCUGGAAUCGCUAGUAAUCGUAGAUCAGCAUGCUACGGUGAAUACGUUCCCGGGCCUUGUACACACCGCCCGUCACACCAUGGGAGUUUGAAGCACCCGAAGUCAGUGACCGAACCGCAAGGGAGGAGCUGCCGAAGGUGAGUCAGACAACUGGGGUGAAGUCGUAACAAGGUAGCCGUAUCGGAAGGUGCGGCUGGAACACCUCCUU